rnacentral:rRNA from 1 species
UAUAUCAGUCAUGCAUAGCAUAUCAAUAAGCGGAGGAAAAGAAACUAACUAGGAUUCCCUUAGUAACGGCGAGUGAAGCGGGAAGAGCUCAAAUUUGAAAUCUUCAAGGUUCUACCUUGACGAAUUGUAGUCUAUAGAAGUGUUUUCUGUUAGUGGAGUGGCAAAAGUUCUUUGGAAUAGGACAUCAUAGAGGGUGAGAAUCCCGUAUUUGGUCAUUCCUCCUAGCGUUGUGAUACACUUUCAACGAGUCGGAUUGUUUGGGAAUGCAGUCCAAAAUGGGUGGUAAAUUUCAUCUAAAGCUAAAUAUUGGCGAGAGACCGAUAGCGAACAAGUACCGUGAGGGAAAGAUGAAAAGAACUUUGAAAAGAGAGUUAAACAGUACGUGAAAUUGUCAAAAGGGAAGCGCUUGACACCAGUGUUGUUUUUCCGAAAAUCAAUUACGAAUGUUUUAGUUUUUGAGGAGUUAUGACUUCAUCGGCUUGCUUCCUCUCUUUAUGAAACUUUCUUAAUGCACUUUUCGGUUAACAAGUCAACAUCAAUUUCUUUUGUUGUAAAAGGGUAUGAGGAAGGUGGCUUACUCUUCGGCGUAAAGUGUUUAUAGCCUUGUAGCCUCUGCAAUCGGAGAGAUUGAGGUACUGCAGCGUAGACUCUUCGGGGUUAGAUACACUUGUGCUAAGCUAUAGCCUUGUAUAGACAACUUGUUGACUAUGCUCAGUCAUGUAGCUUACUCGCUUAUGCUAUUUUACCUACGCUUAGGAUGUUGAUCUCUCACAGUCGAGC